UCUCCGACAGGUGGAGCCCACGGUUUAUCUCUAACCUCCAGCCAAAAGUCCACGCACGACACGAAAACAAACCGGAAACAAGUUCCACAUAAAUCUCACCAAAGCUGUCGAUUUUGCCACGGAUUUUUGCGCCUAUAUAUACCCUAAUAUUCCCUCUGCAGAUUGAUCCUAAAAUCCCCAAUUUUUGCGCCGUUAGACUGCGCAAAUUUCUCGCCGGAGUUCCGAUUUGCCGUCGCCAUUGGAGAGAGCUACGCUGCCCGGGAUUGUUCGCCGGAGUUCAUCGCCGCCAAAACACCUCCAUCCGGCCGUCACUAUUGUUUUGCGAGGAGAAACACCUCGCAGUGACCGUCUACAAGCUCAGUUUCGUCUUCCGCAACUCGUCCUCAAGUUCACGCAGUCGAAGAACCGCCGAAACGCCGACGACCGCCACCAUCUGAAUCCCCGUCGUCAACUGUUCCAGAUUGCCCGGAUUGCAACGAGUGCGAUUGCGACGACUGUCUGAACAGCGACCAAGGCAAGUGUCACAAACUCAAUAUCCUACUGUUUUCUAUGCAUUGGUAGUUGUUUUAUGUGCAUACUGUUUUCAAAUUGCUGGCCCUGGGAUAUUAUCAAAACGAAGAGAUUGCGAGAGAUAAAUGUUUUAUUCUCUUAAUGAUAACAACCAUGUCAAAUUAAUACACCCCUGGAUGGUAAGUGGUAAUGCUUGGUUUAUGUUGAGUGGUUGCACCGGGGUCAUUUCUAUGGCAGCACCGUGUGCAUCACACUUGAGGUUGACCACCCAGGAACAAAGAGAUUAGUCCGGUUUUCUUGUUUUAGUAGCUUCCAAUACAACCACAUGCUAUAUGGGCUCUGGCUAGAUCGAGUAGGUUACGAGAACUCGACCCAAUGUACAGAGGGUGGUAGGUGUUGGUAGGACGGAGCGCGUCCAUUGUGGUUGAGGUAUUGCUUCUGAAAGGUCUUUUCCUAGUCGACAUCUGUCCAUUUGAGCAAAUUGCGUAUCAUGGAAGAAGAACAUACUAGAUCAUGUGGGGAAUAUGUACAGCCUCUCGAGAGUGUCAAAUCUAAGUACUUAGCCGUGUCCCCGGUUACGGACAUCUAUGAGCAAUUAGAGCUUGAAACUGUUGGAUAAUCUCGUCAGUCGAAUUACUGAAAUUAAUGCACCAGGUGGAUUAUGGGUAGUAGUUAGUCUUAUUGAAAUACUAUGUUUUAAGAAAUGUUUUGAGAGUAGGGAAAAUAAAACUGGCUUUACGCAAAUAUGAACUCCACCUGCCAAAUAUCAUGUAGCGAUAGGCGCCAGAAAAAGCCACCAUAGUGACAUCUUGCCAUUUCUAUUCCAAGUGUAAUGACCCUUCGGGGCUGCAACGUUUUUAUGUUGCAGGUUAUUCUAAAGACGAGUAAGGAAUACCGUAGGUUGCGAGCUUACACGCAACAUGUUCGCAUGUGGCGUGAUGGAGCUCUUCGUUUACUUAUUUGCGGCUUGAACUAUGUUAUUUUCAGCUAGCCUUGAGCUAUGCGCUUUGUAAUAAUUAUACCAUGGAUCAUACGUUGUAAUAAUUGAAGCAUUUGCUAUUCUGGUUAUUCAUCGAACUGUGUGUGCUAGCGAUUGAUCCAAAGGACUAGCACAGAAAAGCACAGAGAUUCAAUCUGUAUUCAGAUUGUGUCGCUUCAGAUGGUAUUAGAGCAUUGUGUUGCCUGUAUGUUCGUGACCUUAGAAAAUGGAUUAGAAAUAGGAGGACGAUAGGAAUUAAAACCAUGUUUACUUCAGUCCUUACUUAUCUCAUUUUUGUUCUGGUAAUUUCUUAUCAUUUUCUGCUCUCAUCUUUUCCCUUUUUGGAAUAUAGAUGGCAGA